rnacentral:misc_RNA from 1 species
UUUAUAACAUUUCAUUUUGGAAGCAGACUUGGAGAUUGCUAUUACAGCCUUAAAGAAAAAUGUCACAAACAGUAGAAAAAUCCAAGCUACAAUCCCGCCCAUCAAGAUCAUAUCCUCAUCACACCCUCCCAUUAUGUUUUCAAUGGUUAAAAGAUCAGCAAACCGUGCUGCUGAUUGUAUAGCUAAAUUGUCUUUGAGUGGCUUACUCCAUUGGAUCAACAAUCAUCCCCCUCAACUUUCUAUCAUUCUGUAUGAUGAUGCCUUUGGGC